rnacentral:pre_miRNA from 1 species
UUCACUUGUCCGUGAGAUAUGUUUGAUAUUCUUGGUUGUAUUAAUAAGCUCAACCGGAAGUCAAACAUAUUUUUACGGCCAAGGGAC